rnacentral:rRNA from 1 species
UACAGAGGGUGCUAGCGUUGUUCGGAAUCACUGGGCGUAAAGAGCAUGUAGGCGGCUUAGCAAGUCAGGUGUGAAAUCCCGGGGCCUAACUCCGGAACUGCAUCUGAACCUGCUAAGCUGGAGUGCAGUAGAGGCUGGCGGAAUUCCUAGUGUAGUGGUGAAAUACGUAGAUAUUAGGAAGAACACCGGUGGCGAAGGCGGCCAGCUGGGCUGUUACUGACGCUAAAGUGCGAAAGCGUGGGGAGCAAACAGG